rnacentral:rRNA from 1 species
UGGGGAAUAUUGGACAAUGGGGGCAACCCUGAUCCAGCCAUGCCGCGUGUGUGAAGAAGGCCUUUUGGUUGUAAAGCACUUUAAGCAGUGAAGAAGACUCCAUGGUUAAUACCCAUGGACGAUGACAUUAGCUGCAGAAUAAGCACCGGCUAACUCUGUGCCAGCAGCCGCGGGAAUACAGAGGGUGCAAGCGUUAAUCGGAAUUACUGGGCGUAAAGCGAGCGUAGGUGGCUUGAUAAGUCAGAUGUGAAAGCCCCGGGCUUAACCUGGGAACGGCAUCUGAUACUGUUAGGCUAGAGUAGGUGAGAGGAAGGUAGAAUUCCAGGUGUAGCGGUGAAAUGCGUAGAGAUCUGGAGGAAUACCGAUGGCGAAGGCAGCCUUCUGGCAUCAUACUGACACUGAGGUUCGAAAGCGUGGGUAGCAAACA